CCUACGGGUGGCAGCAGUCGAGAAUCAUUCACAAUGGGGGAAACCCUGAUGGUGCGACGCCGCGUGGGGGAAUGAAGGUCUUCGGAUUGUAAACCCCUGUCAUGUGGGAGCAAAUUAAAACGCUAGUACCACACGAGGAAGAGACGGCUAACUCUGUGCCAGCAGCCGCGGUAAUACAGAGGUCUCAAGCGUUGUUCGGAAUCACUGGGCGUAACGCGUGCGUAGGAUGUUUCGUAAGUCGUGUGUGAAAGGCGCGGGCUCAACCCGCGAACGGCACAUGAUACUGCGAGACUAGAGUAAUGGAGGGGGAACCGGAAUUCGCGGUGUAGCAGUGAAAUGCGUAGAUAUCGAGAGGAACACUCGUGGCGAAGGCGGGUUCCUGGACAGUAACUGACGCUGAGGCACGAAGGCCAGGGGAGCGAAAGGGAUUAGAUACCCGGGUAGUC
rnacentral:rRNA from 1 species